rnacentral:rRNA from 1 species
GUCGGAUUAGCUAGUUGGUGAGGUAAUAGAUCACCAAGGCGACAAUCCGUAGCUGGUCUGAGAGGACGACCAGCCACACCGGAACUGAGACACGGUCCGGACUCCUACGGGAGGCAGCAGUGGGGAAUAUUGGACAAUGGGGGAAACCCUGAUCCAGCGACGCCGCGUGUGUGAAGAAGGCCUGCGGGUUGUAAAGCACUUUUAGUGGGGACAAAAAGUCACGGAUUAAUACUCUGUGAUCUUGAUUUAACUCACAGAAAAAGCACCGGCUAACUCUGUGCCAGCAGCCGCGGUAAUACAGAGGGUGCUAGCGUUAAUCGGAAUUACUGGGCGUAAAGCGCGCGUAGACGGUUUUGUAAGUCAGAUGUGAAAUCCCCGGGCUCAACCUGGGAACUGCAUUUGAAACUGCAUGGCUAGAGUAUCGAAGAGGGAAGUGGAAUUUCCGGUGUAGCGGUGAAAUGCGUAGAUAUCGGAAGGAACACCAGUGGCGAAAGCGACUUCCUGGUCGAAUACUGACGCUCAUGUGCGAAAGCGUGGGGAGCA